rnacentral:lncRNA from 1 species
UUAUCUUUUCUUCUGUGCGCUGUUAUUAAUACUAUUGCAAAAACUAUGCUACCCAAUCUAAAGCUUUGACGAAAAGUACACCUACACAAACUCAGGUCUAAGGGAAUACCGGAUUUUACGAAGAAUACAAUCCCAGACAGAAACAACAGGAGAUUGAAGAAGAGAAGACUGGUAAGCACUCAUAGGCCCAUCACUCACCAUGCUUCCUCGUUUGCCACAAGCCUUGCAUUUACCCAUCUGGCAGCAACUAACUAAACUACUAAGCCCACUAAAAACCCAACAAAAUGAUGUCUAUACUUGUCUGCUUGCAACAACUCAC